rnacentral:lncRNA from 1 species
UGAAAUUAUCGUGUUUUUCUGUUUAACCUGUUUCUUGUCUCUUCAUCGCCUUUCUAUAUAAUGUAAGACCAGAGGCUUUAUGUAGUGAAUUCCCUGUAACCCCGGCUCCUUGGACAAAUAGGUAUUCAAGUAUUUGUUUCUUGAAGUAAUCCUCUGAAUUAACCUGCUCACAUGUAAAAAAUAAUAAGCGGCUGGGAAACGCCAGUAAUAACCGACAAACGUUUGUUAGACAUUUACAGUGUGCCAAGGACUGCAUUUUACGUGUAUUAUCACAUUCCUCAGAACAGCCUAAUGAGGUGCCUCUGAAGCAGAACUCUUGAGAUGGAAGGAUUGUCAUCUGAGGAAAAAAAAUCAAGAUUAAGAGAGGAGGAACUAGAAUGAGAUUCACAUACCCUCUCUCCUCCAAGGGAAGGAGAGAGUGGUGUUGCCUGCCCACUCCUUCCUGGGCAGAACGUUUGUAGCAUGGAACAUUGGAGAAUUUGCAGUCUGCUGACUUUCUGAUUUAGGAGGUUGAUGGGGAGGCCUUAUAAUUUGCAU